ensembl:snoRNA
AGCACUAUUAUUUAAACCUGUGGAUGGGAACUCUCCCCAUUCUUGGUUACGCUGUAGUGCGAAAGAAUUCCUGGCUCUCUCUGUUGCACAGCUGACCGGCCGUUCUGCUGUUGCUAUGUGGAGUUAAGGAACAUGC